GAUGAACGCUAGCGGGAGGCUUAACACAUGCAAGUCGUGGGGCAGCACGGGGUAGCAAUACUCUGGUGGCGACCAGCGCACGGGUGAGUAACGCGUAUGCAACCUGCCCUGUACAGGGGGAUAGCCCGGAGAAAUUCGGAUUAAUACCCCAUAAAGAUAUUGAGAGGCAUCUUUUAAUAUUUAAAGUUUCGGCGGUACGGGAUGGGCAUGCGUGACAUUAGCUAGUUGGUAGGGUAACGGCCUACCAAGGCUUCGAUGUCUAGGGGUCCUGAGAGGGUGAUCCCCCACACUGGUACUGAGACACGGACCAGACUCCUACGGGAGGCAGCAGUGAGGAAUAUUGGUCAAUGGGCGCAAGCCUGAACCAGCCAUCCCGCGUGCAGGAAGAAGGCGCUAUGCGUCGUAAACUGCUUUUCCAGGGGAAGAAAACUUCCAUCGCGAUGGGACUUGCCGGUACCCUGGGAAUAAGCAUCGGCUAACUCCGUGCCAGCAGCCGCAGUAAAAC
rnacentral:rRNA from 1 species